UGCAGAAAGAUGACAGACAAAGGCUCUAAAAGCUCGAGCGAAUAGGAAUACAGAGCCAGGUGGCCCGAGUACUGGAUCUGCUCGACAUACAUCAGGAUCUCGUUCCAUUGUUGAGCACGCUAUGGAUCUGGAGCGUUCUUUAGAAAGACAACCCACUUGCUUAGAGAUCUUUCUCAAAACUCACAAGAGAAAGGAUGACACAUAUAUUGAUGAUCGAUCAAAGAACAUUGGGGAGGAAAUGACAAGCAGGGUUGCUCAGGCAUCUCAGCCACCAGUAGAGGGAGGGGAGUC